UUAGCUGUCACAGGAAUGAGACCCCAAGUCAACCAGUUUGCACUAUGGGAUCCUGCCUGCUGGGCCAACUUGACUGGGAUUAAGGUUGACUGGGGAACCAAGGUCAUUGAGGUCUCUUAUGGCCCCAGGCUGGCAGAAGCUCCAUCUCAAUCCACACUUUCAUCAUCAUACAGUUUGGCAAGACAAAGUAUGGGCUGAAUAUAUAAUUUGAACAUAUAAUUAUUUCUUGAUAACUACAAAGCAAGUGCUGGAGGACUUCCAGAAUCCUUUGGUAUUGGAUGUACCUAGACAAAUGGUAUACUCAUGUGUAACACAGCCUCUGCCACCGAGUGCGCACUCAAAAAUCACGUGAGUACAUAUGAUUGACACUUCCUGUCACCUGCCUUCCUGCAGGCCUUUUCCUGCCCCUUCAUUCACCUUUGUGUUUGAAUGUUCACAUGGCUUGUUCUUCUACACCAGAUUAUGAGCAUCUAAAAGUCACGAUCUCUGACUCUAAGUCCCAUAGACUUAGUCCAGUGUCCUGCACAGAGAGGGACCUCAAGAAUAAUUUCUAAAUAACAUUUUAGAAUCAGCUCUUUGCCUGAGUCUUUCAAAAAUUGCCAUGUAUGGGUUGAAAUUUUAGUUAAAACUGCAUGUGGUCCAUAGUUUUAUCUCCCUUAUCUGAGGUAAUAAGGAGGGAACCACAGUUAUUUGCAGUAACAGAUCCUACCCCAGGUCCCUGUGCUUCUCUGUGAGUGACCAGUGGUACCUCCACACUGCUGCUCUGUUGAUCUAGCCCAAACUCCUGGUGAAUCCAGCCUGCCUUUGGGCUUUGGGAUCCAAUCUUGGGAUAUAAAAGGUAAGCAGGAGGGAAUGACCCAAGUCCGCAUAGGUAAUACACAAAUAGGGUGAGGCACUAGUGGCUGAUGAAGGGAAUUACAUAUUGAUAAUGUAAACUUACAUGAAGCGCAGCUUUCCAGGAUUAGGUAGAAAUUCCA